CCUACGGGAGGCAGCAGUGAGGAAUAUUGGACAAUGGGCGCAAGCCUGAUCCAGCCAUGCCGCGUGCAGGAAGAAGCAUCUAUGGUGUGUAAACUGCUUUUGUACAGGAAGAAACACUCCCUCGUGAGGGAGCUUGACGGUACUGUAAGAAUAAGGACCGGCUAACUCCGUGCCAGCAGCCGCGGUAAUACGGAGGGUCCGAGCGUUAUCCGGAAUCAUUGGGUUUAAAGGGUCCGUAGGCGGUUUAAUAAGUCAGUGGUGAAAUCUGGUCGCUCAACGAUCAAACGGCCAUUGAUACUGUUAGACUUGAAUUAUAAGGAAGUAACUAGAAUAUGUAGUGUAGCGGUGAAAUGCUUAGAUAUUACAUGGAAUACCAAUUGCGAAGGCAGGUUACUACUUAUGGAUUGACGCUGAUGGACGAAAGCGUGGGGAGCGAAACAGGAUUAGGAUACCCCGGGUAGUCCACGCCGUAAACGAUGGGAUACUAGAUGUCGUAGACAUAUGAGUGNGUAGACGAAGUAGAUAAGUAUACCACCGUACGGGAGGUACGUUACGUACGAAGAAGUAAGAAACGUAACAAAGUAAGUAAGUUAGUACGGACGUAGAGGACGUAGACCGAACGGACGACGACGAGGGGAGGAGGG
rnacentral:rRNA from 1 species